rnacentral:lncRNA from 1 species
GGUUGGAGGAAGAAGAAAGAAAGAAUGAGAUGGGGAGAGAGCAGGGAAGCACCGGGCUGAGCUUAAUUACGAUGAUGUGGGCUGUUUUGAAAUAUUGAGAGCUAGUUAUUAGCGAUUUGCUAUGAGUUGAUAUGUUUUUGGGGGAAAUUUUUUUUUGAAGAACUGCCAAUGCAUAGUUUUGGGGAAGAAUUUUUUAAGAAACUCUUGGAGUUGCUCUUCGACAACAAAAGUUAAUGGUGGCAAAUAUUUAGGAAAGGAUGAAGUAGGAUUUACAGAUCAUGCUGUUUGGACACCAUGUUUGGUUGCAAUAACAUCUAGCCUAAUAAACCUCACAUGCGCAUGCAUCCAGCAGAAUUCCA